UACGGAGGAUCCGAGCGUUAUCCGGAUUUAUUGGGUUUAAAGGGUGCGUAGGCGGCCUGUUAAGUCAGGGGUGAAAGACGGUAGCUCAACUAUCGCAGUGCCCUUGAUACUGAUGGGCUUGAAUGUACUAGAGGUAGGCGGAAUGUGACAAGUAGCGGUGAAAUGCAUAGAUAUGUCUCAGAACACCGAUUGCGAAGGCAGCUUACUAUGGUCUUAUUGACGCUGAGGCACGAAAGCGUGGGGAUCAAACAGG
rnacentral:rRNA from 1 species